rnacentral:ncRNA from 2 species
AACAUUUUGCAGGGGUGCUUUCUUUUUAAAGAAGGCUGAGAUAGGUGAAAAACCUGACCCUUCGAACCUGUUAGUUAAUACAACGUAGGGAGCAACGAUUAAGUAUGA